rnacentral:lncRNA from 1 species
AUGGUUAAUCAACGAUUAAGAAUCAUUCUAGGGUUAAACGAUCAAUACGAUUGACAUUUAACCUAGUACAAGUAUUGCAGGAGGAUCGAUUAGCAAUUCGAUUGCUAAUUGGCUUAAUUUAAUUAAGCCAAUAGGCUGAGAUUAAGUCUAGUUAAAUAUGAUUUAAUUAGAUUUAGUUUGGACUUGAUUGGAUCAAGUCCAAUCGGUUUAUUG